rnacentral:rRNA from 1 species
UGCGUAGGUGGUUAGGUAAGACCUGUGGGAAAGACCUGGGCUUAACCCAGGAAGGUCGCAGGUGACUGCCUGGCUAGAGGGCGGGAGAGGAGCGCGGAAUUCCCGGUGUAGCGGUGAAAUGCGUAGAGAUCGGGAGGAAGGCCGGUGGCGAAGGCGGCGCUCUGGAACGUUCCUGACACUGAGGCACGAAAGCGUGGGGAGCAAACAGGAUUAGAUACCCUGGUAGUCCACGCCCUAAACGAUGGGUACUAAGUGUCGGCGGGUUACCGCCGGUGCCGCACCUAACGGAGUAAGUACCCCGCUGGGGAGUACGGCCGCAAGGUUGAA